CAGAAAGAGGUGCCAGCAGGCAAGAAAAGUGAGUUUAGUUCAGGCACCUUCUUGGGCAGCUGGGUCUUUAAGCUAAGGGGUCCUCGGGAGGACAUGUUGAAUGUUUAGCAGCAGUUGUGCUUCAUUCUGCGUUUUGUGUUAAAGGGCGGGCGUGUUGCACUUCAAAGGCAACCUGCGACACAGAGUUUCCAUGAGGUCUGCAAGCGGACGUGAUUGAGGACCCCGCAAGGCGAGCAGAGACAAGGCAGUUCUUGUUGGUGGCUCACCUUGUAGUAAAGAGGGAAGGAGACGUUCCCAAACCAGUCGUACUGGAUAUGGUCCCACCACACGUACAACCACUUUCCUGUCCAGGAGAUGAAGCGCCACAUCCUGGGAGGAUCGGGUGGCGCUGGAGACAACACCGUGACAGGGAGAAGACGCCGUCGAAGGUGAACCACGCAGGUAAGACCGCCCACAAAACGACGCAUCCUGAAGAGACGCUCAGAAAGCUACUUGAAAAUGGUCUGUAAAACAUCAUCUAUGCAACACUUUCACCAAAGAACCACCAUCACAUGUUAUGUAGACCACAAGAUAGUGUUUUAAAUUUAGACAAUAUGACCCCUUUAAAGGCCUACUGAAAUGAAUUUUUUUUAUUUAAACGGGGAUAGCAGAUCUAUUCUAUGUGUCAUACUUGAUCAUUUCGCGAUAUUGCCAUAUUUUUGCUGAAAGGAUUUAGUAGAGAACAACGACGAUAAAGAUUGCAACUUUUGGUAUCUGAUAAAAAAAAGGCUUGCCCCUACCGGAAGUAGCGUGACGUAGUCAGUUGAACAUAUACGCAAAGUUCCCUAUUGUUUACAAUGAUGGCCGCAUGAAGUGAGAGAGAUUCGG